AAAUGAAAGAAUAGAUAAAAAACAGGAGAGAGGGGGUGGACGCAUUGGAAAAUGUGCUUUUCGGGAGCUCCACGCCGUAUGUUAAUGAAGGGUCUUAAUGAAAUGG
ensembl:ncRNA F41E7.10 ncRNA